GCGUCAGCGAUUUGCAGUAUGUUACAGUAUAUUUAUUUUUUAUGGAUAUAUGCAUAAUCCUUGAGAACUGGAUACAAAAGCUCACAUUUCGAUCGAUAUUGUUGCAGACGUCUUCUUCAUCUCCAGCAUCGCUCGAGUAUUCAAAGUUCAUAUUUUUUUAAAUCGUCAAAAAUUACAACAAUUUCCAAAAUGUUCAAAGUGUUGAUAUUCUCACUUUUGAUGAUCGCAUUGGUAGCAACUGUUAAUGCAAUUCCGGAUUGUACAGGAAGAUGGUGUCACCCGAGUCAGGGUUACGACUGCUGCUUCAGUUAUAUCUGUACAUCCGUUUUCUGGCAAGGUACCUGCAAGUUUCCUUUCCCAUGAUACCAGUUUAUUUUCUUCUACCAAAAAAAUUAAGUAGGAUCAAUAGCUUAAUAAAUAUAUCCUUAAAAAAUUUUGCAAAAUAACUGAUAUUUUUUUAACAAUUUAACUAAGCGUUUAAAUCUCUGUAACUUUUCAAGAAUUGAUUUUAUGGAAUUUUUCAAUCAGACCCUGAUGUAUAUAACUAUAUUUAAACAUGUUUUGGUUUUGCUACAAGAUUUAAUACAGUAAUAAAAACAGCAAUAACAAUGAUGAAA